rnacentral:rRNA from 2 species
CGCGCAAAAUAAUCCAAUUCUGACACAAGGGAGGUAGUGACAAUAAAUAACAAUACCGGCUUUUUCAGGUCUGGUAAUUGGAAUGAGUACUAUCUAAACCCCUUAACGAGGAUCAAUUGGAGGGCAAGUCUGGUGCCAGCAGCCGCGGUAAUUCCAGCUCCAAUAGCGUAUAUUUAAGUUGCUGCAGUUAAAAAGCUCGUAGUUGGAUUUCGGGCGGGGGCCUGCCGGUCCGCCGUUUCGGUGUGCACUGGCCGAGCCCGCCUUGUUGCCGGGGACGGGCUCCUGGGCUUCACUGUCCGGGACUCGGAGUCGGCGCUGUUACUUUGAGUAAAUUAGAGUGUUCAAAGCAGGCCUACGCUCUGAAUACAUUAGCAUGGAAUAACACGAUAGGACUCUGGCCUAUCCUGUUGGUCUGUAGGACCGGAGUAAUGAUUAAGAGGGACAGUCGGGGGCAUUCGUAUUUCAUUGUCAGAGGUGAAAUUCUUGGAUUUAUGAAAGACGAACUACUGCGAAAGCAUUUGCCAAGGAUGUUUUCAUUAAUCAAGAACGAAAGUUGGGGGCUGGAAGACGAUUAGAUACCGUCCUAGUCUCAACCUUUACCGAUGCCGACUAGGGAUCGGCGGAUGUUUCUUCGA